rnacentral:rRNA from 1 species
GGAAUCUUCCGCAAUGGACGCAAGUCUGACGGAGCAAUGCCGCGUGAGUGACGAAGGUUUUCGGAUCGUAAAACUCUGUUGUGAGGGAAGAACACGUACCAGCUAACUACUGGUACCUUGACGGUACCUCACCAGAAAGCCACGGCUAACUACGUGCCAGCAGCCGCGGUAAUACGUAGGUGGCAAGCGUUGUCCGGAAUUAUUGGGCGUAAAGCGCGCGCAGGCGGUCCCUUAAGUCUGAUGUGAAAGCCCACGGCUCAACCGUGGAGGGUCAUUGGAAACUGGGGGACUUGAGUGCAGAAGAGGAAAGUGGAAUUCCAUGUGUAGCGGUGAAAUGCGUAGAGAUGUGGAGGAACACCAGUGGCGAAGGCGACUUUCUGGUCUGUAACUGACGCUGAGGCGCGAAAGCGUGGGGAGCAAACAGGAUUAGAUACCCGGG